UGAGAAUGGAUAAGAAACUCGUGGGAUUGACGUUGAAAGGCAGGGAUGGCUAUAUUUCUGGGAACGAACUCAAGGCAAAUAUGAAGAAGCACAUAAGUUAUGUGAAUGAUCCAAGUCUUGUGCAUCAGUUUUCUCUUAUUUCCCUGAAGUUGCUCAAUAUAUCCACCUAUUUGAAUAUAAACCUCAAUACAAUUCUUUGAUUUGCAUUCAAUGUAUUUUCUUAUCCUUGUACUGGAAAUAUUUUGUUAGGCUGCAAGGAAUUGGAUUCAUGCACCAACACUGUUAUUGACACGGUGUUAAUGAAUUGCAGGACGCAUUAUCUGCUUUUGACUCGUACACAUCUCUUGACAUGUUGGAUCAUCCACUCUGGAACUACAUCUAUUACAUGCUGGCUGAGAUCCUGCCAUCAGCAAUUGUCCUCUACACCUUGCGGAAGCUGCCUCCCAAGAAAGUAUAGCACAGUACCGACCAAUCCGUUAACCCAGCCGCCUAAUUGUCAUCCUUGAAAGGUUUCCUCAUUUAGAAUCUCGUUGGUGUAUUUCGGUUGGAGAAAGAAGAACAAAUAAGCAGAGAAAAUGGAUGCCUGUGUUAAUGUUGAGCCAUGCCAGUUCUCUGUAUUUUACAUAUACAGCGUUCGUCUAAAGCUUGUGGGGAGGUUUGGGAGAUGGUGUCAAGAGUUCUAUUUACUAAAUUAUGAGCUAAGCAUAUAUAGUCUCUAUCUUGUUUCAAGAUAUUAUAUUCUGGGAAAUAGCUUUAUCAUGGAUUUCUAAUGAUACUUAAGUUGUAGAUUUAUUUA